rnacentral:rRNA from 1 species
AUGGCGCUUAGAUAUGGUCUAUAUAUUGCUCAAAGGGCGGGCUGCAACCGCUUAGUUAUUACCUCAGAUAACAUGGAGGUCAUCCAAAUCACGAAUAAUGGAGGACGGUCGGCUAGUACAGCGGCGGCAGUGUUUGGCGAUUAUGAUUUUUUAGCAUGUGACUUUUUCAUUACUAAAUUUGAGCAUAAUAAUAGGGAAGCAAAUAGGGUCGCACAUGAACUUGCUAAGUUAGCUAGACUUUCUUCAUCUUUGAACUGGUUUGAGGAGCCCUUGAGUGAAAUUGUACCCCUUCUCGUAAACGAUGUGUUUGUUAUCGCAAAUGAAUAA